rnacentral:rRNA from 1 species
GAUGAACGCUAGCUACAGGCUUAACACAUGCAAGUCGCAGGGUAACAUGAGGAAAGCUUGCUUUCCUUGAUGCCGACUGGCGCACGGGUGAGUAACGCGUAUCCAACCUUCCCAUAACUACGGGAUAACCCGUUGAAAGACGGCCUAAUACCGUAUGAUAUCGUUUGCUGACAUCAAAUAACGAUUAAAGGUUUAGCGGUUAUGGAUGGGGUUGCGUCUGAUUAUCUUGUUGGCGGGGUAACGGCCCACCAAGGCGACGAUCAGUAGGGGUUCUGAGAGGAAGGCCCCCCACAUUGGAACCGCGACACAGUCCACACUCCUACGCGAGGCAGCAGUGAGGAAGACUGGUCAAUGGGCGAGGGCCUGAACCAGCCAAGUAGCGUGCAGGACGACGGCCCUAUGGGUGGUAAACUGCUGUUAUGUGGGGAUAAAGUGCGUGACGUGUCAUGCAUUGCAGGUACCACAUGAAUAAGGACCGGCUAAUUCCGUG